rnacentral:rRNA from 1 species
UACAGAGGUCUCAACCGUUGUUCGGAUUCAUUGGGCGUAAAGGGUGCGUAGGCGGUCGCGUAAGUCAGGUGUGAAAUCUUAGGGCUCAACCCUGAAACUGCACUUGAUACUGCGUGGCUCGGGUACUGGAGAGGAGACUGGAAUUUACGGUGUAGCAGUGAAAUGCGUAGAUAUCGUAAGGAAGACCAGUGGCGAAGGCGAGUCUCUGGACAGUUACCGACGCUGAGGCACGAAGGUCAGGGGAGCAAACGGG